UACGGGGGGAGCAAGCGUUGUUCGGAUUUACUGGGCGUAAAGGGCGCGUAGGCGGCGUAACAAGUCACUUGUGAAAUCUCCGGGCUUAACCCGGAGCGGCCAAGUGAUACUGUUGUGCUAGAGUGCAGAAGGGGCAACUGGAAUUCUCGGUGUAGCGGUGAAAUGCGUAGAUAUGUGGAAGAACACCAGUGGCGAAGGCGGUUUUCUAGUUUAUACCUGACGCUGAUGCGCGAAAGCAAGGGGGAGCAAACAGG
rnacentral:rRNA from 1 species